UACAGGGGGGGCAAGCGUUGUUCGGAAUUACUGGGCGUAAAGGGUCUGUAGGUGGCCAACUAAGUCAGACGUGAAAUCCCUCAGCUUAACUGGGGAACUGCGUCUGAUACUGGAUGGCUCGAGUGUGGGAGAGGAAUGCGGAAUUCCAGGUGUAGCGGUGAAAUGCGUAGAUAUCUGGAGGAACACCGGUGGCGAAGGCGGCAUCCUGGACCAAUUCUGACGCUGAGGAGCGAAAGCCAGGGGAGCAAACGGG
rnacentral:rRNA from 1 species